rnacentral:rRNA from 1 species
GACGAACGCUGGCGGCGUGCUUAACACAUGCAAGUCGAACGGAAAGGCCCUGCUUUUGUGGGGCGCUCGAGUGGCGAACGGGUGAGUAACACGUGAGUAACCUGCCCUUGACUUUGGGAUAACUUCAGGAAACUGGGGCUAAUACCGGAUAGGAGCUCCUGCUGCAUGGUGGGGGUUGGAAAGUUUCGGCGGUUGGGGAUGGACUCGCGGCUUAUCAGCUUGUUGGUGGGGUAGUGGCUUACCAAGGCUUUGACGGGUAGCCGGCCUGAGAGGGUGACCGGCCACAUUGGGACUGAGAUACGGCCCAGACUCCUACGGGAGGCAGCAGUGGGGAAUAUUGCACAAUGGGCGGAAGCCUGAUGCAGCAACGCCGCGUGCGGGAUGACGGCCUUCGGGUUGUAAACCGCUUUCGCCUGUGACGAAGCGUGAGUGACGGUAAUGGGUAAAGAAGCACCGGCUAACUACGUGCCAGCGGCCGCGGUGAUACGUAGGGUGCGAGCGUUGUCCGGAUUUAUUGGGCGUAAAGGGCUCGUAGGUGGUUGAUCGCGUCGGAAGUGUAAUCUUGGGGCUUAACCCUGAGCGUGCUUUCGAUACGGGUUGACUUGAGGAAGGUAGGGGAGAAUGGAAUUCCUGGUGGAGCGGUGGAAUGCGCAGAUAUCAGGAGGAACACCAGUGGCGAAGGCGGUUCUCUGGGCCUUUCCUGACGCUGAGGAGCGAAAGCGUGGGGAGCGAACAGGCUUAGAUACCCUGGUAGUCCACGCUGUAAACGGUGGGUACUAGGUGUGGGGUCCAUUCCACGGGUUCCGUGCCGUAGCUAACGCUUUAAGUACCCCGCCUGGGGAGUACGGCCGCAAGGCUAAAACUCAAAGGAACUGACGGGGCCCCGCACAAGCGGCGGAGCAUGCGGAUUAAUUCGAUGCAACGCGUAGAACCUUACCUGGGUUUGACAUGGAUCGGGAGCGCCCAGAGAUGGGUGUGCCUCUUUUGGGGUCGGUUCACAGGUGGUGCAUGGCUGUCGUCAGCUCGUGUCGUGAGAUGUUGGGUUAAGUCCCGCAACGAGCGCAACCCUUGUUCACUGUUGCCAGCACGUUAUGGUGGGGACUCAGUGGAGACCGCCGGGGUCAACUCGGAGGAAGGUGGGGAUGACGUCAAGUCAUCAUGCCCCUUAUGUCCAGGGCUUCACGCAUGCUACAAUGGCUGGUACAGAGAGUGGCGAGCCUGUGAGGGUGAGCGAAUCUCGGAAAGCCGGUCUCAGUUCGGAUUGGGGUCUGCAACUCGACCUCAUGAAGUCGGAGUCGCUAGUAAUCGCAGAUCAGCAACGCUGCGGUGAAUACGUUCCCGGGGCU